GACGAACGCUGGCGGCGUGCCUAAUACAUGCAAGUAGAACGCUGAAGGAGGAGCUUGCUUCUCUGGAUGAGUUGCGAACGGGUGAGUAACGCGUAGGUAACCUGCCUGGUAGCGGGGGAUAACUAUUGGAAACGAUAGCUAAUACCGCAUAAGAGUAGAUGUCGCAUGACAUUUGCUUAAAAGGUGCAAUUGCAUCACUACCAGAUGGACCUGCGUUGUAUUAGCUAGUUGGUGAGGUAACGGCUCACCAAGGCAACGAUACAUAGCCGACCUGAGAGGGUGAGCGGCCACACUGGGACUGAGACACGGCCCAGACUCCUACGGGAGGCAGCAGUAGGGAAGCUUCGGCAAUGGACGGAAGUCUGACCGAGCAACGCCGCGUGAGUGAAGAAGGUUUUCGGAUCGUAAAGCUCUGUUGUAAGAGAAGAACGAGUGUGAGAGUGGAAAGUUCACACUGUGACGGUAUCUUACCAGAAAGGGACGGCUAACUACGUG
rnacentral:rRNA from 1 species